rnacentral:rRNA from 1 species
ACAAGAACGACUCUCGGCAACGGAUAUCUCGGCUCUCGCAUCGAUGAAGAACGUAGCGAAAUGCGAUACUUGGUGUGAAUUGCAGAAUCCCGUGAACCAUCGAGUCUUUGAAUGCAAGUUGCGCCCGAAGCCGUUAGGUUGAGGGCACGUCUGCCUGGGUGUCACAC